rnacentral:rRNA from 1 species
UCGACUGUUUACCAAAAACAUAGCCCCAGAAAAUAUCUGAGGUGUAACCUGCCCAAUGAUUAUUAAUUUAAAAUAAAUAAAAGUUAUUUAAUAAAAUUGAAAGGACGCGGUAACCUUGACCGUGAUAAUGUAGCAUAAUCACUUGCCAUUUAAUUGAUGGAUAGUAUGAAUGGUUGAACGAAUAUUUCACUGUCUUAAAAAGAAAACUAAAAAAUUAAAGUAACAGUUAAGAUGCUGUUUAAAAUUGUAAGACGAAAAGACCCUAUAGAGCUUAACUAUAAUCUCUAUUAAAAUAACAAAAAUAAAUUUAAAAAUAAAGAGAUUGGUAGUUUAGUUGGGGCGACUAUCUUUUAAAAAAAACAAAGACAAGCAAAGUUAAUAAAUUACUUAUUGUAUAAUAAAUAAAUUUAACAAUUACUAUAGUAGGCUAUAAUGACCCGUUAUAUAUAUAUAAAAAAACUAAUAACGAUUAAUAAAUAAAAGCUACCUUAGGGAUAACAGGAUAAUUUCAUUCAAGAGAUCUAAUCAAAAAUGAAGUUUGUCACCUCGAUGUUGAAUUAAGAUAUCCAGAUAAUGCAGAAGUUAUCAAAGGUAGGUCUGUUCGACCUUUAAAAUCUUACAUGAUUUGAGUUCAUUCCGU